UUGCCAUGAUGACCAAGAUAUUCAACAAGGAAAUGUGGAAAGCUGCCAUAUUCCCAGUCUUUACUUUGCCAAAUCAUCUAUGCAGCACCACCAAGGGA